rnacentral:rRNA from 2 species
CGGGCGUCUUAACAUGCAAGUCGAACGGAUUAAAGCACCUUCGGGUGUGUAUAAAGUGGCGAACGGCUUGAGUAACACGUGGGCAACCUGCCCCUUUCAUUGGGAUAGCCACGGGAAACCGUGGAUAAUACCGAAUACUUCGAGACUUCCGCAUGGAAGACUCGAGAAAGCUCCGGCGGAGAGGGAUGGGCCCGCGGCCUGUUAGCUUGUUGGUGGGGUAACGGCCUACCAAGGCAAUGAUGGGUAGCUGGGUUGAGAGACCGACCAGCCAGAUUGGGACUGAGACACGGCCCAGACUCCUACGGGAGGCAGCAGUGGGGAAUCUUGCACAAUGGGCGAAAGCCUGAUGCAGCGACGCCGCGUGCGGGAUGAAGGCCUUCGGGUUGUAAACCGCUUUCAGCAGGGACGAGGCGAAAGUGACGGUACCUGCAGAAGAAGCCCCGGCUAAUAC